UAGUUUCUUCGUUUGUUAUUUCUUUUAUGGACUGCAAUUGAGUCCUAUGGAAAUAAAGAUUAUUUUCUGACACGAUGUGCUACCGGAGUUCCCCUUGUGAUAGACGACCAAUAAUAGACUGGGUGCGACUAUAGCCGCGAACAAUAAAAGACGUUAAUUAAAGCAUUCCAAAGCAUUUAUUCGGAUGAUUCACCACAAUAAAAUCAAAUCUGAAUCAGAAUGAAAUUUCACAUAGAAAUGUCAAAGUUGGAAGUUAUUAAAGAGGGCAAACACACUUCCAAGGUGAGCUGAGGGGUAUUACCAACGAUAUGAAUCAUUAAAGUUUACGAUAGUACCACAA